UACGGAGGAGGCAAGCGUUAUCCGGAAUUAUUGGGCGUAAAGCGUCCGCAGGUGGCAUCUCAAGUCUGCUGUCAAAAACCGGGGCUUAACCCCAGAAAGGCAGUGGAAACUGAAGUGCUAGAGUGCAGUAGGGGUAGAGGGAAUUCCCGGUGUAGCGGUGAAAUGCGUAGAGAUCGGGAAGAACAUCGGUGGCGAAAGCGCUCUGCUGGACUGCAACUGACACUCAGGGACGAAAGCUAGGGGAGCGAAUGGG
rnacentral:rRNA from 1 species